ensembl:snoRNA small nucleolar RNA SNORD35
UGCAGAUGAUGUCGAUCUCACGAUGGUCUUCCAAGCCCUUGAGGCUCUGACGACAGUGCCUUAUGGCAGCGCUGAUGCAGCUUG